rnacentral:tRNA from 1 species
GCGGGUGUCGUAUAACGGCUAUUAUGGUUCCUUCCCAAGGAACAGACGGCGGUCCGACUCCGCUCACCCGCU